UACGUAGGGUGCGAGCGUUGUCCGGAAUUAUUGGGCGUAAAGAGCUCGUAGGCGGUUUGUCGCGUCUGCUGUGAAAAACUCGGGGGCUUAACCCCCGGGCCUGCAGUGGGUACGGGCAGACUAGAGUGCGGUAGGGGAGACUGGAAUUCCUGGUGUAGCGGUGAAAUGCGCAGAUAUCAGGAGGAACACCGGUGGCGAAGGCGGGUCUCUGGGCCGUAACUGACGCUGAGGAGCGAAAGCGUGGGGAGCGAACAGG
rnacentral:rRNA from 1 species